CCGACAUGCUACGCCACCUGGUGGAUGGCUUGGCUCGGGCGCCGAAGAAGGGCGUGGCAAGCUGCGAAAAUCCUCGGGUAGGAGCACGCAUCCGUCGAUCCGAGGGUGCCUGAAUGGGAUGACCUGCCAUCUCCGUAAGGAGAUGGCGCACCCAAAAGGUGUGGGAACCUGCCGAAAGGAAACAUCUGAGUAGGCAGAGGAAGAGAAAUCAAAAACGAGAUUUCCUGAGUAGCGGCGAGCGAAAAGGAAGGAGCCCAAACCGAACUUGGCGGGGAAACUCGCUUAGGAUGUGGUGUUGUGGGUUGGAUCGCCUCCCUGCCAGCUGACCUGAAGAGCUCUGGAAAGGGCCGCCAUAGAGGGUGAUAGUCCCGUAGGGGAAGGCUGGCGAGAGAUGGAUCCUUGUCCCAGAGUACCAUGCCUCGGAUAUGGCUUGGGAAGCUGGGAGCUAUCCGCUUCCAAGGCUAAAUACGUCCCGAGACCGAUAGCGAACCAGUACGGCGACGGAAAGCUGAAAAGUUCCCCGGGAGGGGGGUGAAAAGUGCCUGAAACCAGGUGGUUAUAGACGUGUACAGCCCUAAAGGGUUAACCCUCUCAAAAAUCUCUGGUCGAGAGGCCAGAGGUGAUGAGAGGUACCAGGGUUGUACUUUCCGUUUGGAACCACGGGCCGGGGAGUUAGUGGUUGUGGCGAGCUUAAGGAGUCUAUCUCCGCAAGCGAAGGGAAACCGACAGCCUGCAGUCGCGAUGAGCGACGAGAGGCGGGGUGACGAUCGCCUGAAGUCACAACCACUAGACUAGAAACCGGACGAUCUAGCCCUGGGCAGGGCGAAGCCAGGCGAAAGCCUGGUGGAGGCCCGAAGGGGUGCUAACGUGCAAUUUGUUCCUCUGACCUGGGGCUAGGGGCCAAAAGCCAAUCUAGUCCGGUGAUAGCUAGUUCCCUCCGAAGUGGGCCGCAGUCCAGCCUGCCCGGAGACUGCCUGCGCGGUAGAGCACCGAUUGGAAAGUAAGGGCUCGAAAGGGCCCGCUUUUCUUUCGAACUCCGAAUGUGCAGGUGUCGUAGAAGGGCAGAGACGGGUGCCCGGGGGUAAGCCCCGGGACCGAGAGGGGAACAACCCAGACUGGGGUUAAGGCCCCUAAAUGUCGGCUAAGUGUCAAACCAAAAGGCGUCCCGCUUCUAAGACAGCGGGGGGGUAGGCUUAGAAGCAGCCAUCCCUUAAAAAGUGCGUAACAGCUUACCCGCCGAGAAGCGAGGCCCUGAAAAUGGACGGGGCUCAAGCCGACUGCCGAUACCCCAGAGCAUGGUCAGAGACCAUGUCUGGUAGGAGGGCGUUCAGGUCGGGUCGAAGCUGGGUCGUGAGGUCCAGUGGACCGGCCUGAAGUGCAGAUCCCGGUGGUAGUAACAGCAAAGUCGGGUGAAAAUCCCGACCGCCGGAAGGACCAGGGUUCCCCAGCGAUGCGUCGUCAGCUGGGGGUUAGUCGGUCCUAAGGACAACGUCUAACCUGCGUUGCCAAAAGGGAAGCUGGUUAAUAUUCCAGCACUGGGUGGGUACACUUCGCGGUAACGCAAGGCUUCGAUGCCGACGCUUUGGGGUAGGCUGAGCGGGGUCGUCGCCUCGUCUAACUGCUCAAACCUGUGGAGUGCCGUAAAGGCGAGAAGCAGGUGAAGGCAGGAAUGGCACGCCGUUAGGCGUGUUCGGCUGAACCCUAGAGCCAAGGAAAAGGCAUCGAAGAAGGAUCCCAUCCAACCGUACCUAGAACCGACACAGGUGUUCCUGGGUGAGGAGCCCGAGGCGUGUCGGGGUACUCCGUGGCGAGGGAACUCGGCAAAUUAGCCCCGUACCUUCGGUAGAAGGGGUGCCUGAAACUGAGCUCUGCUUAGUUCCAGGUCGCAGUGACAAGGGGGUCCCGACUGUUUACUAAAAACAUAGGGAACCGCCAGCCCGAAAGGGUGUGCACGGUUCCUGAAUCCUGGCCAGUGGCGGUAUCUGAAACUCGGGUUCAACCGAGCCAAGGACCGCUUAACGCCGGGAGUAACUCUGACUCUCAGCAUUAAAGGGAGUCGUUAAACCUAGCUAUAUGCUUGGAAGCAUGAGUUCACAGUCCCCGAGUAGGGAAAAGAGCUGUGAACGAUGAGCGCGACAAGCAGGGAACCGCCCUUCGCAAGUCUUAUAUUUCGCUGACACAGGGUUCCAAAAAUGAGACCAAUGCUCUUUGAAUUCAGGGAUUUGAUCGAACCAUCAAAGCUUCCUAAGAGGCGUAAGUACCUCAAUUAUUAUCUCCUAGGCUUCGCUGAGGGUGAAGGCUGUUUCUCUGUUUCGAUAAAAAAACAACGUGAUACAAAAUACGGCUGGGUGGUGGACCCAGUCUUUCACGUUACUCAACAUAAGGACAAUAGGGUUAUACUGGAACUCUUUAGAAGAGUGUUUGGAUGCGGAAGAAUAAUCCCGAAACCCGGUCAAGAGGAAACAAUACUCCAAUAUAUAGUCGACAACAGAAGGCAUCUCUCAGAAAGGGUAAUCCCUUUCUUUAAGAAACACAGGCCAAUCGUGAAAUCGAAAGAAUUCGAUUACUUUUACAAGAUCGUGGAGGCACUUGAAAAUGGAGAACACAAAAAUGCUGAAGGUUUAAAGAAGUUGAUCAAAAUGGCUUACGAUAUAUCGGUUGAUCGUAAAUAUUCCGUUAAAGAAAUCGCUCAGGAAAUCGAGCGAAGGGUGGGCGCCUCAGAGACCAUACGCUAGGCAUCUGAGCAUAGACCGUGCUCAGAUGAAGAUAUGGUCCAGCACCAAAUGGUGUUGCUUAAGGUAGCCAAAUGCCUUGUCGGGUAAGUUCCGACGUGCAUGAAUGGAUCAACGAGGGCCCCGCUGUCCCCGCCCGGAGCCCGGUGAACCCACGUAACGUGGAUGAACAGUCCACGAACUCCCAACGGGAAAAGAAGUCCCUGUGGAGGUUUACUGCAACCUGCCGUUGGGCCGAUUAGAUUAGUGCAUAGCGUAGGUGGGAGCCGUCAUCACUUCAGCUUCUCCGGAAGCUGGAGGAGGCGCCAAUGAAACACCACCCACUGAUCUGAUCAGCUCUUACUCAGGGAAACCUGAGGACACCGGUUGGUAGGCAGUUCGGCUGGGGCGGCCCCCCCUCGAAAAGAUAUCGAGGGGGCCCAAAGGUCAGCUCAGGCGGGUCAGAACUCCGCCGUAGAGGGCAAGGCCAAAAGCUGGCCUGACUGCGAUCCGCACAUCAGGGAUCACAGAGGCGAAAGCCGGGCCUAGCGAACCUCCAUGUCCCUACGGGUAGGGGCUGGAGCUGGCAGAAAACUUACCCCAGGGGUAACAGGCUCGUCGCGGGCGAUAGUUCCCAUAGACCCCGCGGUUUGGAACCUCGAUGUCGGCUCUUCCCAUCCUGGCGGUGCAUAAGCCGCCAAGGGUAGGCCUGCUCGGCCGUCAAAGGGGAACGUGAGCUGGGUUUAGACCGUCGCGAGACAGGUCGGACUUUAUCUGUUGGGAGUGUUGGUCGCCUGAGGGGAGGAUGUCCACAGUACGAGAGGAACUGGGCGUCGCGGCCUCCAGUGUACCGGCUGUCCGACAGGGCAGACGUCGGGUAGCCGCGCCGCUGUGGAUAAGAGCUGAAAGCAUCUAAGCUCGAAGCCACUCCCGAAAAGAGGCGACCAU
rnacentral:rRNA from 1 species